AGCCCUUGAUCUUAUCAAAGGUGUUACCUGCCCAAUGAUUUAAAACUAAAUAAUAAUAAUCUUUUUAAAAUUAAAUUUAAAGGACGCAGUAUACUGACUGUGGUAAUGUAGCAUAAUCACUCGCCAUUUAAUUGAUGGAUAGUAUGAAUGGUUAAACGAAUAUAACACUGUCUUAAUAAAAGAAAUUAUGAAAUUUAAAUAAUAGUUAAGAUGCUAUUUUAAAUUGUAAGACGAAAAGACCCUAUAGAGCUUAACUAUAAUCUCUUUCAAAAAUAAAUAUUUACAAGAUAUCAAUAGAGAGAGGUGGGUAGUUUAGUUGGGGCGACUAUCUUCUAAUAAUAACGAAGACAAACAAGGUUAAUAAUAAACUUACUGUAUAAUCCAUUAAUUUAACAGUUAUAAAAAUAGGUUAUAAUGACCCGUUAAAAUUUAUUAAUUAAUAUAACGAUCAAUAAAUAAAAGCUACCUUAGGGAUAACAGGAUAAUUUUGUUCUAGAGAUCAUAUCGAAAACAAAGUUUGUCACCUCUAUGUUGAACUGAGAUAUCCUAAUAAUGCAGAAGUUAUUAAAGGUAGGUCUGUUCGACCUUUAAAAUCUUA
rnacentral:rRNA from 1 species